rnacentral:rRNA from 1 species
UACGGAGGGUGCAAACGUUGCUCGGAAUCAUUGGGCGUAAAGCGCACGUAGGCGGCUUGUUAAGUCGGAUGUGAAAGCCCCGGGCUCAACCCGGGAAGUGCAUACGAAACUGGCGAGCUUGAAUAUGGAAGAGGGUCGCGGAAUUCCCGGUGUAGCAGUGAAAUGCGUAGAUAUCGGGAGGAACACCAGUGGCGAAGGCGGCCUUCUGGACCAGUACUGACGCUCAUGCACGAAAGCGUGGGGAGCAAACAGG